rnacentral:tRNA from 1 species
GAGGGUAUAGCUCAAAUGGCAAAGCAUGUGCUUAGCAUGCACGAGGUCCCGCGUUCAAUCCCCAGUACCUCCU